rnacentral:rRNA from 1 species
UACAGAGGUCUCAAGCGUUGUUCGGAUUCAUUGGGCGUAAAGUGUGCGCAGGCGGCCGCGCAAGUCGAGUGUGAAAUCCCCGAGCUUAACUUGGGAAUUGCGCUCGAAACUACGUGGCUGGAGUGUGGCAGAGGAAGGUGGAAUUCCACGUGUAGAGGUGAAAUUCGUAGAUAUUGGGAAGAACACCGGUGGCGAAGGCGGCUCACUGGCUCAUAUCUGACGCUCAGGCGCGACAGCGUGGGGAUCAAACAGG